AUACGAAGGAUCCGAGCGUUAUCCGGAUUUAUUGGGUUUAAAGGGUGCGCAGGCGGCCAUUUAAGUCAGCGGUUAAAUCGUGGGGCUCAACCCCAUUCUGCCGUUGAUACUGGGUGGCUUGAUUGCGGUCGAGGUUGGCGGAAUUCGUUGUGUAGCGGUGAAAUGCAUAGAUAUGACGAAGAACACCGAUUGCGUAGGCAGCUGACCAGACCGCAAAUGACGCUCAUGCACGAAAGUGCGGGGAUCGAACAGGAUUAGAUGCCCUGGUAGUCCGCACAGUAAACGAUGAAUACUUGUUUUCGGCGAUAUAAUGUCGGAGGCAAAGCGAAAGCGAUAAGUAUUCCACCUGGGGAGUACGCCGGCAACGGUGAAACUCAAAUGAAUUGACGGGG
rnacentral:rRNA from 1 species